AGAUGGAGAGUUUAACUUGUUCGCCCAGGCUGGAGUGAAGUGGCACGAUCUUGGCCUACUGCAACCUCUGCCUCCCGGAUUCAAGCGAUUCUCCUGCCUCAGCCUCCCGAGUAGUUGGGAUUACAGUCGUGCGCCACCACGCCCGGCUAAUGUUUAUAUUUUUAGUAGAGACGGGUUUUCACCAUAUUGGUCAGGCUGGUCUCGAACUCGUGACCUCAGGUGAUUCCCUCCCCCCGCCCCACCACCUCAGCCUCCCAAAGUGCUGGGAUUACAGGCCUGAGCCACCGUUCCCGGCCUCGAGCGCCUUCUUAUAAACUGGAUGGUGGUUUUUGUUUUCACCUUCAAAGUCGAAUCUCCCUAGUCCGUUUAUUACCAGAAAGAGGUCUCCACUCAGACCCAGCGAGAGGCUUCUUGGAUGUCGCGUAGGAAAGAAUUCGGGGCGAGUCCACGGACUAAAGUGAAAGCAAGUGUAUUAGAGAAGUGAGAAAGCAAAAGAAUGGCAGAGCAGGGCAUUCCUGAAAGCGGGAGGAGGAAGGCGCCCGCCUUAGGUACAGUGCUUGUUCAAAUCUAAGGUAACACAGCCAAAGAAAUCUUGGGGGACAUGGGCUCUACCACGAGGGCCCACGACCAAGGUUUCAUGCGCGUCCGUGUGAAGAGACCACCAAACAGGAUUUGUGUGAGCAACAUGGCUGUUUAUUUCACCUGGGUGCAGGCGGGCUGAGUCCAAAAAGACAGUCAGCGAAGGGAGAUAGGGGUGGGGCCGUUUUAUAGGAUUUGGGAAGGUAAUGGAAAAUUACAGUCAAAGGGGGUUGUUCUCUGGUGGGCAGGGGUGGGGGGUCACAAGGUGCUCAGUGGGGGAGCUUCUGAGCCAGGAGAAGGAAAUUCACAGGGUUAAUCACUUAGUUAAGGUUGGGCAGGAACAAAUCACGAUGGUGGAAUGUCAUCAGUUAAGGUGGGGCAGGGCCUUUUCACUUCUUUUGUGAUUCUUCAGUUACUUCAGGCCAUCUGGGCGUAUACGUACAAGUCACAGGGGAUGCGAUGGCUUGGCUUGGGCUCAGAGGCCUGACACAAGGAUUGUUCAUCUUUGUUUACUGACUUUGGCAAAGAUCUAUAUUAUCUUUAAAGCGAAACCUAAAUGAAGAAUGCUUUUGAUCUUAAGAUAUUGUUAGGUUUUGAAGGGAAGACGAGAGUUAAAGAAUGACACACAGGUCGGGCGCUGUGGCUCACGCCUGUAAUCCCAGCACUUUGGGAGGCCGAGGCGGGUGCAUCACCUGAGGUCAGGAGUGGGAGACCAGCCCGACCAACAUGGUGAAACCUCAUCUCUACUAAAAAUACAAAAAUUAGCGGGGCGUGGUGGCACAUGCCUGUAAUCUCAGCUACUUGGGAGGCUGAAGCAGGAGAAUCACUUGAACCCGCGAGGCAGAGGUUGCAGCGAGCCAAAAUCACGCCAUUGCACUCCAGGCUGGGUAAUACAGUGAGACUGCGUCUCAAAAAAAAAAAAAAAAAAAAAAAAAAACAAAGGGCAGCUCAACAGCAACACAGGUAUAUGGCAAAAACCUACAGAGAUGGGGGAUCAGCUUAAUGCCAGAGCCCACUGCUGCUUACAGGCUGGGGUACUUAUAGGGCAGGAGGGGAAUGGGCAGUAUGGCUUGCCAUGUGAAUAUACUUACCAGUAUAUCUAUCCAUAAAACGUUCUAUGAUCAGGCAGUUUGGCCCUUGUUCCCUCAGAAAGUGACAGUGAUGUUCCUUGCACCUUUGCUGAGCAAGGUUUGAUAGGGAUGUUCCUUCAAUUGGGCCUUUACCCAACAGGGUUUGGUAAGAAAGUUGGGCAGGAAAUUUCUCACGGCCUGAACCCCCGUGGAAUGUUUCGCUUUGACCAGUGUCUGCGAAAUGGCGGGGGGCUUAGAAAAUGGUGCAGUUUGGCAGGGCGUGGUGGCUCACGCCUGUAAUCCCAGCACUUUGGGAGGCUGAGGCGGGUGGAUCACAAGGUCAAGAGAUCGAGACCAUCCUGGCCAACAUGGUGAAACCCUAUCUCUACUAAAAAUACAAAAAAUUAGCCGGGCGUGGUAGCGGGUGCCUGUAGUCCCAGCUACUCAGGAGGCUGAGGCAGGAGAAUGGCGUGAACCCAGGAGGCGGAGCUUGCAGUGAGCUGAGAUUGCCCCACUGCACUCCCGCCUGGGCAACAGAGCGAGACUCCAUCUCAAAAAAAAAAAAAAAAGAAAGAAAGAAAAUGGUGCAGUUUGGACUAACAGAUACAGCGACAUCAAAAUGUUUCCUGGGUCUGUUAAGUCCUGGGUUUGUUUAGUGAACGUUAUUAAUCUGUUCCUGUAACCCUAAACAUCUUGUGACUACUAAGAAUGCAGCCAACAGGUCUCUGCCUGAUUUUACCUACUGCCUCUUCAAGAUGGAAUUGCUCUGGUUCCAAUGCCUCUGACAAACUGGCUGCUUGAUCUCUAGGUUGUGACCAUGUCAGGGAUAGAGGCAGCUUAGGUAGAGGUAGACUUUCUUGUACUCAACAUUGAAUUGUGGCUUAGUUAAAAUCAGAACUUUCAUUCUUGGAAUAAUACAGUAUUGUAAGGGUAAGCCAAAUGAUUAACACAUUUACUUAAUUACACAUUGUAGCAUUGAAAUAACUGAUGCCUUUCUAAUGCAAAUAAAAAAGAUUUAUGUAUAUGAUAGCACUGUAGCUGUCUUGCGCCUUACUGGAUGGAUUUCAUUGCUGGCUAAAAUGACAACUUUAAACUGGCUAUAACUCAGAAGAAUGGAGGCACUUUGCACGCAGACAUCUACCUCCAUUGAAUUUGGCUACUUCCUUUUAAUGAAGCUCAAGUCUCAUGUUAUGAAAUACUCCUCCAAAGGUGUUAGCCCUUUUUUCCUAUACUCUGCCUUUCAAAAAUCCCUUUCAAUUUGCUUAACCCCUGAGAGCCAAAGGACUGUGAUGGUUGUUAGGCUGGGUCAUUGUCAUCAUGUUCAGUAAAUAAAUACCCAGACAUGUCAGUUUACCUACUUUACCUGAUUCCAAAUGAGUCCAUGGUGAUGUGAUCCUGCCUUUCUUUCUGCUGUUAGAGGUCCAUGCCAGGAGCCAGCUUUGUAUCAGUUUUGCCACAGUGAUCAGGUCAUAAAUGUCUCAGAUCAUUCAAGCCCAGUUUAACCUAGCAAAGAAAAUGGCAAGAUAAUAUUGCUGUGUUCUAGCUGUGUUCUGGCCUUCAUUUUAGGUAGGCUUAAACCUCGACCUGGAGUCAUUCCUGUUACGAUUUACCAGAAAACACCCAACAGGAAGCCUACAGAACUACACUUUGCUCCUAAUGUUAAGGAAUGAAAACAGGAAAUGUUCUGUUAUCUGCCUGGCAGUGGGGCUUUGGAGUUAAUCUCCUGGCCGUAUCACUUACCAGCUUGGCAGCCUUGGACAAACUGAGCUCUGAGCUCAAGUUUCCUCAUCUGUAAAGCGAGGGUGUAUUAUGUACCUUCAUUUGGUUGUACAGAUUAAGUGUGAACACUUAGGUAAAGCACACAGUAUGGGGCUGAGUAAAUGGACUGUUAAAUAAGACAGUAUCACUUGUUUUUAAGUUCCUUGGAGCUUUCUCCCCUAAACAGCUCAAAAGAUUUUCAUUUUUUUCUAAUGCUAAUAUUUUUCUAAUUCUUGUUUUAAAAUAUUUUACUGUAAAAUAUUUUGGCCAGGUGUAGUGGCUCACACCUGUAAUCCCAACACUUUGGGAGACCAAGGCAGGAGGAUUGCUUGAGCCCAGGAGUUGGAGACCAGACUGAGCAACAUAAUGAGACCUCGUCUCGUCAAAAAACAAAAAUGGAAAAUUUUUAAAAAACAGGCCGGGCAUGGUGGCUCACGCCUGUAAUCCCAGCACUUUGGGAGGCCAACGUAGGCAGAUCGCUUGACCCCAGGAGUUUGAGACCAGCCUUGGCAACAUGGCAAAACCCUAUCUCUACGAAAACUGUUUAAAUUAGCUGGGCGUGGUGGCACGUGGUGGUUCUAGCUACUUGGGAGGGCUGACGUGGGAGGAUUGCUUAACCCCGAGAGGUCGAGGUUGUAGUGAGCUGUGAUUGCACCACUGCACUCCAGCCUGGGCGACAGAGCAAGACCUUGUUUCAACACAAGUAAAAUAUUUGUGAAAUGGGAAUUCAGUUUCAUUUUUUUUUUAACUGAUCAAAAAUAUAACUUUCACCCCCACUGAGGCUUAAAAGAACAAAAACAAAAAAGUGUGACUGACAUUCGGCGGUUUUGGCUUCUAGACCGCCACUAAUAUUGAGCUGAGUUCCUGUAACUCUGGCUAAAAGCAAAGAGCUGUGUUUUAGCCAGAGCAGUUUUAUUAUGAGUUAGAUUUAUGAUUUCCAGUAGGCUUUUUGAAAUGUUGGCCAGAGGUCAGGGACUCCCUGUCCCCAUUCAUAGAUUCUAGACUGAAUCUCUUUCAAUAUGAACACAUUUGGCUCUUUAAGAAAGACUUAACUAAACUGGGAUUCAACUGGAUUGCCUCGAGACUUUGGGCAGAGCACAUGACUUAUUUUGUCCUAGAGAUUCCAAUCUGCUGGACACUCAGAAACUUUCACAACUUCUAUUUUUCACAUUUUUUCAUAUUUUAGGCUUCAGUGCAGAAGGAUUAAAAGUAAUGGCUAAGUUUUCUAAUGCUGUUAUUUAUUUUUUCUUGAGGCUUUAUGGUCACUAAAAAAGUAACAAUAUAUAGUACGUAAAAAAACUUAAAGAUACUGUGGCUUAUAAAAGCGUAUCUUUUUUCUGAGAACAAAAUUAGCCAAUUAAAUAAUAAAACCAUCAAGAGAUGUCACCAGUCAAUGAUGAUGGGGCAAAAAUUGUUCUGCAUUCCGAGGAGGGAGAAAUCGAUGCAAGCAGAAGCGAUUAAACAUUCACAUCUUGGAGCUAAAUGACCUCCUAGGAUGGAUGGGUUUUAUAGAGGUGGAGAGGUGGGGGGAGGGUGCUGGAUGAAAUAACUGGAAAAUCUCCUUUUUCUUACUAUUUUUCUUCAGUCCCUUUAUAGGCACAACUGCUUAAAGAAACCAGAUGGCCCCAGGAUGGUGCCAGAGCUUCCUGACCCCUUAUCAGAUACCAGAGGAAGAUAAGACUGCAGAGCGGAACAGGAUAGGCAACCCCUGGUUGGCUUCAGAUCAUUAUCAUGUCGUUAUAAUGCUAAAAUUCCUUCUCCUAAAAGAAAGUCUCCACCAUUUUGUGUACAUGUGAUGUAUGAAGACGUAUGUUUAUGAAUUGUGUGUGCACAUUUAGAGUCUCACUUUGCACAUGCUAACAUUCCUCUCCUGUCCCACACCUAGUCCUAAAAACUCCAUGCCUUCUAGUGUUUGGGGAGAAGGGGCAUUUAGAGUUAAGAGCCCCUUCCCUGGCCAGCGACUAAAACCUGGUUACCGUUUACAGUUGAAUGUCCUCUGCGUAAAUCGAUACAAAGUGGGGAAAGAGCUGAGUUUACCAGUGACGACUGGAAGACCCUCUCUUUGAGAUUUGUACCAAACCAGGUCUCAGUCUGCCUGUACAUGCUCUGUCAUUGCUUUCACUGUGUUGACCUACUUGCUGCUUUACCCUUUGUGUCUGGCCCUCUCUUGUACUUAGUUCUUUCCUCCUGUCCGUCUCCACCCUCUUUCACAUACUUUUUCUCAGUUUUGUGACUUUAGCAGACCUUUUCGGCUGGCCCCCAGCACAUCCCAUGGCCUGGCAGCAGGUGGUUUCUGCCUGGAGGGCUCAGCCAUCAAAAGAUUUCAAGAUGUAUAUUUUGUAAGGCAAAGCCUAUACUCAUAGACUUUGUGAAGGACCUGGUUGGGGAGACAGGAGAAAAAAUGGAUGGGAAAAAAGUAGUAAGCAGUUUUACUGUGUGAGAUAUUAGUGGGCGAGAUAACAUUGAAGCAGUGCUUGAUUAAAUACCAAAUGAAGUUCCAAUGGUAGCUGAGAGAAGGGAGGGGAGAGACCAUUUCAGACUGGGGCCUGUGUUAGUCUGCUUGUGCUGUUGUAGCAAUGUAGCACAGACUGAGUGGUUUAAACAAAAGAUUGAUUUCCUCACCGUCCUGGAGUCUGGAUAUCCAAGAUCAAGGUGUCAGCAGGGUUAAUUUCUUCUGAGGACUCUCCUUGGCUUUUAGAUGGUCACUUUCUCCCCGUGUCUUCAUGGUCUUCCCUCUCUAUUUUGUCUGUGUCUCUAAUCCCUUAUACAAACACCAGUCAGGCUGGGCACGGUGGCUCACACUUGUAAUCCCCACACUUUGGGAGGCUGAGACAGGAGGAUCACUUGAGGUCAGGAGUUUGAGACCAGCUGGACCAGUAUGUUAAAACCCCGUCUCUACUGAAAAUACAAAAAUUAGCCAGGAGUGGUAGCUCACUCCUGUGGUCCCAGCUACUUGGGAGGCAAAGGCAGGAGAAUUGCUUGAACCUGGGGAGGGUGAGGUUGCAGUGAGCUGAGAUCAUACCACUGCACUCCAGCCUGGGCAACAGAGCAAGACUCCAUCUCAAAAACAAAUAAAGCCGGACGCAGUGGCUCGCGCCUGUAAUCCCAACACUUUGGGAGGCCGAGGCAGGCAGAUCACUUGAGGUUAGGAGUUCGAGACCAGCCUGGCCAACACAGUGAAACCUCAUCUCUGCUAAAAAUACAAAAAUUAGCUGGGCAUGGUGGUACACGUCUGUAGUCCCAGCUACUUGGAAGGCUGAGGCAGGAGAAUCGCCUGAACCCAGGAGGCAGAGGUUGCAGUGAGCCGAGAUUGUGACAUUGCAUUCCAGCCUGGGCGACAAGAGCAAAACUCCGUCUCAAAGACAGACAAACAAAAAACACCAGUCCCUGGAUUUCUAACUGCCUCAUUUUAAUUUAGUUACUUCCGAGGCCCUUUCUCCAAAUGUAGUCACUUUUUGAGGUACUGGGGGUUAGGUCUUCAACAUAAGAAUUUGAGGGAAAUAAAACUGAGCCCAUAGCAGGGUAAUAGGAAAGGCUUUACCAAGUUAAAGCUGGGAUUGGAAAUACCCCAUUUCUGUGAUUAAAAAAUGUACCUUUGACAUUUCUGAAAUCAGUAUAUUUCUGACCUUCAGGGUACAGUUUAAAAAGGCAUACUGCCCUGGUUUUACCAUUAGUGGUUGAAAGGAUGGACAGUACAGACUUCUACUGGGAAAGAGGUCUUAGUGUUAGAUGCAUCAGCUUCUUGGGUCAGGGGCAAGAUUUUUCUCUAAGUUGCCUAUCGGAAUUGAAUCUGCCUUGCCUGAGCCUCUCCUUUCAGACUUUCUUCCCUCUCCCCAGCCAUCAGUGACCUUUCAGUCUUCAUCCCAGGUCCUCUUUCUUCCUCUGCCUCAGAGCCUAGUUAAUUGCUUCUAUUCAGUGAAAUUAGAGUUCAAGAGUCUGGGACUGGGAUUCCUUCUCAGAGAAUGCAGGAGUAGAAGGCAAACACAUCUGACUUCUUGCUUACGUCAUAGAACAUUACAGGAUGCUGUGGACUGAAUUGUGUCCCCCACGAAUUCGUAUGUUGAAACCCUAACUCCUAGUGUGAUUGAAUUUAGAGUAAGAAAGUAAUUAAGGUUAAAUGAUGUCAUAUGGCAUGUGAAAACACAGCCAGAAGCUGGCCAUCUGCAUACUACCAGGAACUGACUUGCCAGCCUCCAGGACUGUGAGAAAAUAAACUGUUGCUUAAGCC
rnacentral:lncRNA from 1 species